rnacentral:rRNA from 1 species
UCAGGCCUAACACAUGCAAGUCGAACGGGAGUAGCAAUACUCUAGUGGCGGACGGGUGAGUAACACAUAGGAAUCUGCCAUACAGAGGGGGAUAGCCCGAAGAAAUUCGGAUUAAUACCGCAUAUAAUCUAAGGAUGAAAGGUGGCGCAAGCUAUCGCUGUAAGAUGAGCCUAUGUCCGAUUAGCUAGUUGGUAGGGUAAGAGCCUACCAAGGCGACGAUCGGUAACUGGUCUGAGAGGACGACCAGUCACACUGGGACUGAGACACGGCCCAGACUCCUACGGGAGGCAGCAGUGGGGAAUAUUGGACAAUGGGGGAAACCCUGAUCCAGAAAGGCCGCGUGGGUGAAGAAGGCC